UGGUUCUGGCAUCGAUGAAGAACGCAGCGAAAUGCGAUAAGUAGUGUACAUUGCAGACCUUAGUGAAUCAUCGAAUCUUUGAACGCACAUUGCGCCUUGUAGUAUUCUACAUGGCAUGCCUGUUCGAGCGUCAUUGCAGCCUCAAGCCUUGCUUGUCGUUGGGCGUCUGUCCUGCCGGGACUCGCCUGAAAUGUAUGCAUCGAGAACGAGUCCUCUAGCCGACGCAGUACGUGAAUCUGGUUUAGGGACUGCGUCCUCCCGCAGCAGCGAUAAUUUGGCCUCGGAUCAGGUAGGGAUACCCGCUGA
rnacentral:misc_RNA from 1 species